AUCACUUCUCAGCCUUUUGGCUAAGAUCAAGUGUAGGAACUAUUUAUUUCUGGGUAAAUAUUUAAAACAUUACUGAAUAUUGGAACAUGAUUUGAUAAACUCUAUUCCAGGGGGCAGAGGCAGGAGGAUCUCUGUGAGUUUGAGGCCUGUCUGGCUUAUGUAGAGUUCUAAGCUAGUCAGGGCUAUGUAGU